GUCCUUUUGAAAUGACACUGACUUUUAGAGAUGGAACUUCGGAUAAAUUUAGGAUGCAUCAAAAAUAUCCCUUCGAUAAGUGUCCGGGUUUUAGACAGUUCUAUGGUCCACAUAAAAUUUCAUACUCUUUUUCCGUCUGAACUAAUUAUUAUUAUUUAGACCUCAAAUACAUACUUCUUUCUAUGUAUGUGUUAUUUGAUUUGCAUUAUUAUAUCUUAAUAUUAUUAUAGAAUCUUAUAAUAAAGAAGAUUUUAUUGUUUUA